CUUUUCAUCUUCUUGUUGGGUAAUGGCUGUCGGAUUAGAUGAUUUACUUUAUGUUCUGCCUUGUUUAGGAUAACUUUCUCUAAACUACAAGCUUUUCUACCUCGACCUUGGGGUUGAGAUCCAUCAGGUGAAGGUAAUGCAUCAACCAAAGCAACUGAUCUCCUUGGUCUCCCUCUCUUUGAUACUUGUCUAGACACAGCAGUCCCUGUCACAUGUGCAGUGGACUCUUCCAUUGCUUGUUUCAGGAAUGAAACUUCUGAUUCAAGCUUCGUAACGUGGCUCUUGUAAUCAGCUAGUUCUGAUUGCAAAUGUCCAAUUACGAUCCAUAGUUGAACAUUCUCUGCUGACUGCAUCCUCAAGCAAAAAAUUGACAUAAGCAAAAAUGGCAAUAUCAUAGUGAAAACAAAAUAAGGGCAGCAGAAAAGAAAUCAUCCUUGAGCUUCCCACAGUUGUUCUGGUGGCCUAAUGAUCCCCCUUUGAGAUGAUUGUCCAAGGGGCGCUGAACAAUCAGGCACAGUUGGAGGUUGUAAAGAGAAGUAGCCAUAAGCUCCUGGGAACACAUAGUUGCUAGGAGGCUGUGAUUGUUGAAUAUGACCACACCAAGAAGAUGGAUCCCAAGGCCCUGGAAAUGCGUAACCAACUUGGUAACAGAAAUCGGGAAACUGAUUAUGGUCUUUUGAUGAAGUUCCACCUCCUAUUAAACCAGAAGCCUGCUAACUAGCAUUAAUUGCUCCAGGUGGAUGGCUGAAAUAUAACAGGUGCAUUCACACCAGGCAUAUAGUAACCAGGACGCUGAGGUAGCCAAAAUGGUGUGGUUGAUUGGGCAAGGUGAGGUAGGGCAUGGCCCUGAUGACUAGUAGGAUUUAAUGGCAGAUGAGGUAAUUGAUGCCAUUGGCUUACAGCUAUUGAUGGAGAUUGGGCAGAUACACAAGGCUUUGAACUUGAGGAAGGCCGCUCCCCGUUAAUUUGAAGUGUGCAUGGGCAGCAUGGCCAUUGAAGAAUUGAAGGGGAUUGCUGAUUGAGGGAAGGUGCAUCGUCAUGUGAAGGAUUAGUAGCUCUCAUACUCUUCGUAGCAAAUGCAACAGUGGGUUGGUUUUGUUCUUCUUUACGCUGGUCAUCAUCAGAUUCACCCAGCAAGUCAUUAAAGCCACGUUCGUGGGUAGUAGCUGAAGCAAUUCUGUGAUCCUUCUUCUUCCUUUCCAUGACAUCAAAAUAAGAGAUUAAUAAAAAUUAAUCACUUACAGUAGAUGAAGAUGCAGGAGCUCUCUCCCUAUAUCAAACUAGAGAGAGAAAGCGAUGGAAAAGAAGAAAAAGAGGCCGAAUUUCUUAUUCAGCGGAAAGAGAAUGUGAAGGAAUUUUAUAGCUUUUACUGAUCUUUGAUCUUGCUGCAGAACUGUCAAUAAAUAAUAAUGAUAAAAGGGAAAUACUUAAGAUGACUAAAUGCUGCAGGUGCUCUGUGGACACUGGACAUUACUCAUAUUGCUGCAUUCUAGUACUGACCAGCAGAAGGCGCACCACCAUUCUGUUU
rnacentral:misc_RNA from 1 species